GUCUCGUUAAAAACAAAAAAAGAGGAGUAUAUAAAAGAUAGUAUCGCGUUUGCCCUCUGCCUCUUUCCGAUUUCUUCAGUCUCUCUUUUAAGCCUCAAUCUUCGCUCUCGCUCGCUCUUUUCUCUCCCUUCGCGGUUUAGAUCGGAUUUUGGGAGAUUCAGGCUCCCUAAGUUAACAAAAAAGCACUCUACUUUCAGCUACCAAUCUCUUUCGACUUUGCUCCAGUCAUGGCAGGAUCUGCACCAGAAGGCACACAGUUUGAUGCACGUCAGUUCGACCAAAAGCUAAACGAAGUACUUGAAGGACAAGAUGAGUUCUUCACCUCUUAUGAUGAGGUUCACGAGAGCUUUGACGCCAUGGGUCUCCAAGAGAACCUUCUGAGGGGGAUCUAUGCUUAUGGUUUUGAGAAGCCUUCUGCUAUUCAGCAAAGAGGAAUCGUCCCCUUUUGCAAAGGUCUCGAUGUGAUCCAACAGGCUCAGUCUGGGACAGGGAAAACCGCAACUUUCUGCUCUGGUGUCUUGCAGCAGCUAGACUUCACCCUCGUCCAGUGCCAAGCUCUGGUUUUAGCUCCAACUAGAGAGCUCGCUCAGCAAAUCGAGAAGGUCAUGAGGGCCCUCGGUGAUUACCUUGGUGUCAAGGUUCAUGCCUGUGUUGGUGGAACCAGUGUCCGUGAGGAUCAGCGCAUCCUCCAAGCUGGUGUCCAUGUAGUUGUUGGAACUCCAGGACGUGUCUUUGACAUGUUGAAGAGGCAAUCCCUCCGUGCUGACCACAUCAAGAUGUUUGUUCUUGAUGAAGCUGAUGAAAUGCUCUCCCGUGGUUUCAAGGACCAGAUUUAUGACAUAUUCCAGCUUCUCCCACCAAAGAUCCAAGUGGGUGUGUUCUCAGCAACAAUGCCACCGGAAGCUCUUGAGAUCACAAGGAAGUUCAUGAGCAAGCCAGUGAGAAUCCUGGUGAAGCGUGACGAGCUGACCCUUGAAGGUAUCAAGCAGUUCUACGUCAACGUCGAGAAGGAGGAGUGGAAGCUCGAGACGCUUUGUGAUCUCUACGAGACGCUUGCAAUCACUCAGAGCGUCAUCUUCGUGAACACUAGGCGAAAGGUUGAUUGGCUCACAGACAAAAUGAGAGGACGUGACCACACGGUGUCAGCGACUCACGGAGACAUGGACCAGAACACGAGAGACGUCAUCAUGAGAGAGUUCAGGUCGGGAUCGUCGCGUGUGCUCAUCACAACUGAUCUCUUGGCUCGUGGAAUCGAUGUGCAGCAAGUGUCUCUGGUUAUCAACUACGAUCUGCCGACACAGCCGGAGAAUUACCUCCACCGUAUCGGAAGAAGUGGAAGGUUUGGGAGGAAAGGUGUGGCGAUCAACUUCGUGACACGAGACGACGAGAGGAUGCUGUUUGAUAUUCAGAAGUUCUAUAAUGUUGUUGUUGAAGAGCUUCCUUCCAACGUUGCGGAUCUGCUUUGAAGAGCCAAGUGCCAUCCAUCUCAAUCCAAUUGCUGCUAUUCUUCUUGCUUAAAGGAUCCCAUCCUCCCUUGGUCUAACACCCAGUUUUUUUUUUUGGUUUUUAAUGUUUUAAAAAUUUGUUAAAAAAAGCCUAUGAUCUAUUAUCUUUUUUUUUUUGGGUUAAAGAACAAACCUUUUGAUUAUCUAUUAUUAUCUAAACUUAUUUUGCAUUCUAAACUAUCCCAUAUUUAAUACUU